rnacentral:rRNA from 1 species
CGCGCAGGCGGUUUGGUAAGUCAGAUGUGAAAUUCACCGGCUCAACCGGUUGAACUGCAUCCGAUACUGCCAGACUUGAGAUCAGUAGAGGAGAGUGGAAUUCCCAGUGUAGCGGUGGAAUGCGUAGAUAUUGGGAAGAACACCGGUGGCGAAGGCGGCUCUCUGGACUGAUUCUGACGCUGAGGCGCGAAAGCUAGGGGAGCGAACAGGAUUAGAUACCCUGGUAGUCC